rnacentral:tRNA from 2 species
GCUCCGUUCGUCUAGUGGCCGAGGACGUCGCCCUCUCACGGCGAAAACAGGGGUUCGACUCCCCUACGGGGUGCCA